rnacentral:rRNA from 1 species
GACGAACGCUGGCGGCGUGCUUAACACAUGCAAGUCGAACGGAAAGGCCCUGCUUUUGUGGGGUGCUCGAGUGGCGAACGGGUGAGUAACACGUGAGUAACCUGCCCUUGACUUUGGGAUAACUUCAGGAAACUGGGGCUAAUACCGGAUAGGAGCUCCUGCUGCAUGGUGGGGGUUGGAAAGUUUCGGCGGUUGGGGAUGGACUCGCGGCUUAUCAGCUUGUUGGUGGGGUAGUGGCUUGCCAAGGCUUUGACGGGUAGCCGGCCUGAGAGGGUGACCGGCCACAUUGGGACUGAGAUACGGCCCAGACUCCUACGGGAGGCAGCAGUGGGGAAUAUUGCACAAUGGGCGGAAGCCUGAUGCAGCAACGCCGCGUGCGGGAUGACGGCCUUCGGGCUGUAAACCGCUUUCGCCUGUGACGAAGCGUGAGUGACGGUAAUGGGUAAAGAAGCACCGGCUAACUACGUG